UACGUAGGGGGCAAGCGUUGUCCGGAUUUAUUGGGCGUAAAGAGCGUGUAGGCGGCCAUGUAGGUCCGUUGUGAAAACUCGAGGCUCAACCUCGAGACGCCGAUGGAAACCAUGUGGCUAGAGUCCGGAAGAGGAGAGUGGAAUUCCUGGUGUAGCGGUGAAAUGCGCAGACAUCAGGAAGAACACCCCGUGGCUAAGGCGGCUCUCUAGUACGGUACUGACGCUGAGACGCGAAAGCGUGGGGGAGCGAAACAGG
rnacentral:rRNA from 1 species